CUUCCACUCACCUGCAUCACUCACCUUCUUUCUCUGAAACCUAAAAUCUUCCAUUUUCUCUGAUCUCUCUCUAGAACCAGUUGCCCUUCUCUCUUCUGUAACUCAUCUUCUUCUUCUCCGAUUCACUUUCCAGAACCAUAGGAACGUUCGUCCUGCUGUGAUCUUUCAUUUGGACCGAACAGAACUUGGAUCGGAACUGAUUUACGUGGGAACUGUUGAGCGAAGCCUGGGUGUAAGACGUGGUUAGAGGAAAACCUAAAAUCUUGUUAUUGGAAGUUCACUGCUAUCCAGAUGGUGGUGCAUCCCUUGAGCAAAUGCUGGAAGAAGAAAAUUUGGAUGAAACAAAUCUGGUGGAAGUUGAUGUGAAGGCCGAGCCUUAGAGCGCUCGUUAGAAUAGAUCUGUGAACGUUAGUGUAGUAAACGUUCGGCCAAGUAUUUUGUAAGGUCGUUCGUCUUAAGCUUCUAAUUUUUGUUUUGUCGUACGUUGUUUUAUACAUUUAAGAACGUUCGUUUCAGAUUCUCAUGGCCAGCGUUUAUGCGCCUUCUUUUGUACUGAUGUCGUUCGGCUUUUAAAUCCUAAUUUUAAUGCAAAGACUGUU